rnacentral:rRNA from 1 species
CCUACGGGAGGCAGCAGUGAGGAAUAUUGGUCAAUGGGCGCUAGCCUGAACCAGCCAAGUAGCGUGAAGGAUGACUGCCCUAUGGGUUGUAAACUUCUUUUAUAUGGGAAUAAAGUGCAGUAUGUAUACUGCUUUGCAUGUACCUUAUGAAUAAGGAUCGGCUAACUCCGUGCCAGCAGCCGCGGUAAUACGGAGGAUCCGAGCGUUAUCCGGAUUUAUUGGGGUUAAAGGGAGCGUAGGCGGGUUGUUAAGUCAGUUGUGAAAGUUUGCGGUUCAACCGUAAAAUUGAAGUUGAUACUGGCAGCCUUGAGUACAGUAGAGGUAGGCGGAAUUCGUGGUGUAGCGGUGAAAUGCUUAGAUAUCACGAAGAACGCCGAUUGCGAAGGCAGCCUGCUGGACUGUAACUGACGCUGAUGCUCGAAAGUGUGGGUAUCAAACAGGAUUAGAUACCCGGGUAGUC